AGCAAGAGUGGAAAGGAAGGAAGGAGAGAGGGAGAGAGACAUCGAUGUGAGAGAAACACCAACCAGGACCCCAAACAGGACAGGGAUCGAAUCUACGUCCCAGGCAGGUCCCAUUACCCCCACGGAACAGCUGAGGAACUAAGGCUGAGAGGUCACGUGCUUGCCCAGGGUCACAUAGCCAUUCCCACUGACUACCUCCCUCGACACUCACCUGGGGCUCUUGCAAGUCACCCAGAUCCAGGAAGAGGUCAAGAUCACAGCCAUGGACGUCAAAGCUGUUUAUGGAAGAGCCGAAAGGAUGGACCACACAGCCUGGGUGCCGAGCAGAGAAUAAAGCCCCAUCCCAUUCUAAAAGAAGACUUGGGAUCGCCUAAGCCAUACCUAUAUAACCAGGGUGCAAACUGCAACAAUGCACUUUUGUCAAAAGACUAGAGAGACUUGACAAAAGGUCUGCAUGGAAGCAAGACAAACAAGACCACAGAGAACAAGCUUGUUUGCC